GGCCCUUCACCGGGGCAUGUGCUCGCUCCGAAAUCUAUUUAUCUUCUCUUGUGCACCUCUUGUGGUCUUUGAAAGAAAGUAAACCCCUCGCAGAAAUGCGGUUGGGGGGACUGGGCCUCACCCGCCCUUCCCCUGCUUGCUUUAAAAGUGAACCCCUCGCAGAAAUGCGGUUGGGGGGACUGGGCCUCACCCGCCCUUCCCCUGCUUGCUUUAAAAGUGUGAACCCCUCGCAGAAAUGCGGUUGGGGGGAUUGGUUACUCUUCCCCUGCUUACUUUUCUUUCAAAUGGCUAUGUUUUCAUAUACACUAUAAAGUUACAGAAUGUCUUUUAAAGAUUGUCGCUCGCGCGCAGUCAUUAAACCUAUACAACUUUCAGCAACGGAUCUCUUGGCUCUCCCAUCGAUGAAGAACGCAGCGAAAUGCGAUAAGUAAUGUGAAUUGCAGAAUUCAGUGAAUCAUCGAAUCUUUGAACGCACCUUGCGCCCUUUGGUAUUCCGAAGGGCAUGCCUGUUUGAGUGUCAUUAAAUUAUCAACCUUGCUCGUUUUCGAGUAAGGCUUGGAUGUGAGGGCUUGCUGGCUUCCUUCAGUGGAUGGUCUGCUCCCUUUAAAUGCAUUAGUGGGAUCUCUUGUGGACCGUCACUUGGUGUGAUAAUUAUCUAUACCUCGUCGACUUUGAAGCAAAUUUAUGGGAACCUGCUUAUAACCGUCUCGCAAGGGACAAUAUCUCUGACAUUU
rnacentral:rRNA from 1 species